rnacentral:rRNA from 1 species
UGCCAGCAGCCGCGGUAAUACGAAGGUCCCAAGCGUUGUUCGGAAUCACUGGGCGUAAAGGGAGCGUAGGCGGCGUGGUAAGUCAGGGGUGAAAUCCCGGGGCUCAACCCCGGAACUGCCUUUAAAACUACUAGUCUAGAGUUCGAGAGAGGUGAGUGGAAUUCCGAGUGUAGAGGUGAAAUUCGUAGAUAUUCGGAGGAACACCAGUGGCGAAGGCGGCUCACUGGCUCGAUACUGACGCUGAGGUGCGAAAGUGUGGGGAGCAAACAGGAUUAGAUA